GACGAGCCACACGAACGUUAUUCGGAAUUACUGGGCUUAAAGGGUGCGUAGGCUGCGCGGAAAGUUGGGUGUGAAAUCCCUCGGCUCAACCGAGGAACUGCGCCCAAAACUGCCGUGCUCGAGGAAGAUAGAGGUAAGCGGAACUUACGGUGGAGCGGUGAAAUGCGUUGAUAUCGUAAGGAACACCUGUGGCGAAAGCGGCUUACUGGGUCUUUUCUGACGCUGAUGCACGAAAGCUAGGGGAGCAAAACGGGAGUUAGAAACCCUGA
rnacentral:rRNA from 1 species